CCCUUAGAUGUUCUGGGCUGCACGCGCGCUACACUGAUGCACUCAACGAGUUUACGAGCUUGUCCGAGAGGAUUGGCUAAUCUUUUUAAAAUGCAUCGUGAUGGGGAUAGAUUAUUGCAAUUAUUAAUCUUCAACGAGGAAUUCCUAGUAAGCGCGAGUCAUCAGCUCGUGCUGAUUACGUCCCUGCCCUUUGUACACACCGCCCGUCGCUACUACCGAUUGAAUGAUUUAGUGAGGACUUCGGACUGGGACCGAUGCGGCUUUCGGGCUGCGUCGGUAUUCUGGAAAGAUGUCCAAACUGUAUCAUUUAGAGGAAGUAAAAGUCGUAACA
rnacentral:rRNA from 1 species